rnacentral:lncRNA from 1 species
AGGGUUGAAGAGACCGUAGUUCCUCUCGGAGGUUGGUCCAGGCUUCAUGUUCUCGUUAAAGAGAGCAAAGACGAAGAUGGUGAGAUCGCACUCAGGUCGUAUAGGCGUCCUCAUCUUCUUGCUCAUCAUCAUCUUGAUCAGAUUCCCAUUGUACUUGCGAGCAUUGUCGCAGGUGGCUCCGACUUCUUGCGGGUCACCGUUGGAAGGCCAUCCGGUCUCGGAGACGACAAUGGGAACUUUCUUGUAGCUGAUGCCGACAGCGUCAAGAGCGUGAUAGACUGCGUCGACCUGAGCGAAGAGCAUGUUGUCGUAGUGGAAAUUAGAGCCAGGAUCGGUGAAGCCUUGAUUUGGUUGGAAGAGUACGAAGUCGAGAGAAACGUGUUUGGGGUUUUCUUCGUAGGCGAAGAAAGGGUAGGCGUUGAUGAGGAUUGGUGAGCCAGUCUUGACGUGGAAGUCCAAGAUGGGAGUGAGGGAGCCGAGGAGGUCGCGGCGGAAGGAAGUGGCCGAGGGAGGGUAGGAUACAUCCAAGAUGGCUAGUGAGUGAGCCGUCGUCACAAAGAUCUGCUUGUUUAGGCCACAAUCCACCAGAGCACCGUGGAUGCUUUGCAUAGCCGGGAAGAGGGCUGCCGUGAGGGCUGACUGGUUUGAGGUGAGGACUUCGUUUCCCACUACGAUGGCCACGAUCUUGGUGUUUGGGAGGUAAGCUUGGACGUUCUCCUUCACCCAGCCUUGGGCUUUAAUAGGGUCGCUCAUCUGAGCCAGGUACUCGUUACCGAGGGCCACGGUGAGCUCGAAGCCGGAGCCGGCGAAGGCACGUAGGGCUUGUGGAUCGGCGUCAUAGAGCUUGACUUUUGUAGCUCCCACAGACUUGAGGAGAGGGAUGACGUUUUUAGGGGGAGGAAGGUUGUUAGCGACCUGGCCAUAGUUGAUGC